rnacentral:rRNA from 1 species
CCUACGGGAGGCAGCAGUGAGGAAUAUUGGUCAAUGGGCGCUAGCCUGAACCAGCCAAGUAGCGUGAAGGAUGACUGCGCUAUGGGUUGUAAACUUCUUUUAUAUGGGAAUAAAGUGCAGUAUGUAUACUGCUUUGCAUGUACCUUAUGAAUAAGGAUCGGCUAACUCCGUGCCAGCAGCCGCGGUAAUACAGAGGAUGCGAGCGUUAUCCGGAUUUAUUGGGUUUAAAGGGAGCGUAGGCGGUUUGUUAAGUCAGUUGUGAAAGUUUGCGGCUCAACCGUAAAAUUGCAGUUGAUACUGGCAGCCUUGAGUACAGUAGAGGUAGGCGGAAUUCGUGGUGUAGCGGUGAAAUGCUUAGAUAUCACGAAGAACUCCGAUUGCGAAGGCAGCCUGCUGGACUGUAACUGACGCUGAUGCUCGAAAGUGUGGGUAUCAAACAGGAUUAGAUACCCGAGUAGUC